rnacentral:rRNA from 1 species
AGCAGCCGCGGUAAUUCCAGCUCCAAUAGCGUAUAUUAAAGUUGUUGCAGUUAAAAAGCUCGUAGUUGAAUUUCGGGAUCAGUACGCUGGUCGUGCCUCUGGUAUGUACUGGUGUCACUGGUUCCUCCCUUCUGAAGAACCAUCAUGCCAUUCAUUUGGUGUGGUGGGAAAUCAGGACUGUUACUUUGAAAAAUUAGAGUGUUUAAAGCAGGCUCACGCUUGAAUACAUUAGCAUGGAAUAAUGAAAUAGGACGUUGAUCCUAUUUUGUUGGUUUCUAGGAUUGACGUAAUGAUUAAUAGGGAUAGUUGGGGGCAUUAGUAUUCAAUUGUCAGAGGUGAAAUUCUUGGAUUUAUUGAAGACUAACUACUGCGAAAGCAUUUGCCAAGGAUGUUUUCAUUAAUCAAGAACGAAAGUUAGGGGAUCGAAGACGAUCAGAUACCGUCGUAGUC